UACCAUGCAGUCGAACGGCAGCAUGAUCUAGCUUGCUAGAUUGAUGGCGAGUGGCGAACGGGUGAGUAAUACAUCGGAACGUGCCCUGUAGUGGGGGAUAACUAGUCGAAAGAUUAGCUAAUACCGCAUACGACCUGAGGGUGAAAGUGGGGGACCGCAAGGCCUCAUGCUAUAGGAGCGGCCGAUGUCUGAUUAGCUAGUUGGUGGGGUAAAGGCCCACCAAGGCGACGAUCAGUAGCUGGUCUGAGAGGACGAUCAGCCACACUGGGACUGAGACACGGCCCAGACUCCUACGGGAGGCAGCAGUGGGGAAUUUUGGACAAUGGGCGAAAGCCUGAUCCAGCAAUGCCGCGUGUGUGAAGAAGGCCUUCGGGUUGUAAAGCACUUUUGUCCGGAAAGAAAUGGCUCUGGUUAAUACCUGGGGUCGAUGACGGUACCGGAAGAAUAAGGACCGGCUAACUACGUGCCAGCAGCCGCGGUAAUACGUAGGGUCCAAGCGUUAAUCGGAAUUACUGGGCGUAAAGCGUGCGCAGGCGGUUGUGCAAGACCGAUGUGAAAUCCCCGAGCUUAACUUGGGAAUUGCAUUGGUGACUGCACGGCUAGAGUGUGUCAGAGGGGGGUAGAAUUCCACGUGUAGCAGUGAAAUGCGUAGAGAUGUGGAGGAAUACCGAUGGCGAAGGCAGCCCCCUGGGAUAACACUGACGCUCAUGCACG
rnacentral:rRNA from 1 species